rnacentral:lncRNA from 10 species
AUGUCUCAAACAAAAGUCCCUAGAAUAUAUUUUUAUUCUCAUUUUUCUACUCUGAAAAAUAAAUUGGCUCUCAGGCCAAAAAAAAAAAGAAUUCAUUCAGACCAUAUCACACAGUUUCUUUGAGAAAAUCUGUAUUAGUUUACCAUUAUUUCUCAAAAGAAUCAUUGUAUCAGCACAAGCAAAGUGCAAAAAAGCAAUAGCUUCAUACAAAACAAAAUUAGAAAUAGUCUCUUACCCACCCAGUAGGAACUAUACUAUGAGAAAACAAAUUAAAUGCUACUUUCCUCUGUGCAACAAAUGUUACUGUAAUCAAAAUGGGUUUUUAAUGGUACACUGAAAUGACACGUGGCCUUGAAUUCUUACAAAGGUUUUCAAAAGUCAAAAUACUCUUCCUGAAUACCUGUUGUUUCUUUUUAAAUUCAGGGGAAAAAGCAACUGCUUAAGAUGAUUAUUUCACGUGCGUUUUUCAGGGUAGAGUUACAAAAAAGACAGCAUGAAACUAUUCAGUAAAAGUUUAAUUUUGGCCUAGGAAAAAUUAGAGUCAUAUGCACACUUGUUUUAUGGACAAAAAUGACCAAAUCCUAAACAAAAGCACAUUUUCCUUUUUUGUUGUUACAGAAAUACACAUGAUUUUUACUUCAAUUUUUUUGAAGGAAAAAUAACACAGUAGGCUUUUUUCAAAUACUACAUGAGAGUUAAAGGCCCAAUGCUGCCAGACUCCACACUGAAGUCAUGAGAGUGGAUUGUCUAUAAUUAUUUCCACUAUUUAGUUCUCUGAGGCUUGUCAUUGAAUCACACACAAGGAGAUAAGGAUUUAAGUUGGUAGCCUUUUGCAGCAUCAAGAAAAACUGUAUUUCCCACACAUAAAGUUGGAAAGCAAGGAAGUGAAAACUUUCAUCUCAAUCUAACAUGACUGUACUCUUGGGAAAUGAGGCCCAAGAACAGGUCAAUGUCAGUAUUACCUUGUUCAUUUUUUAAAGGAGAUUCAUACGAUUUCUUUUAUAUUGUGGGAAAGCGUGUCGAAGGUUUUGAAAUUCUGCGUAGCUUUCUGAUACCCUGAACUACCAUUUUCCUGGAAUAAAUAAUCUUGUUUUCAAAAUUUCUGUUGAAUAUUUCAGAGGGAGAAUGAGAGCAGGAUGUAAAAAAAAAAAUAAAAGUAACUUAGCUGAUAAUUUUAAAGAAGUGUCAGAGUGAUCACAUUCAAAUUACAAUGUUAAUGUAUCAGGUAGAAUUACUUGUCAAUGUGAGUGACAAAAAUCUCACAAAGAGCAGUUUAACCAAGUAGCUCAGAGUUAGAAAAGUGUGGACACUGAAUUAGUUGUUAAUGAUGUAUAUUUUAUUUUUUUUUAUUUUGCUAUAUGGAGUGGGUUUUUGUGACUGAAAGACAAUUCUGUCAGUUCUAAUCAUCCUAUCCAACACUGAGGCUAACAGAAGAAGGAAAGAGAAAAAAAGUCCAUUCCUGGUCAUUUUAUCCAUUUUAUCAAGAUAGCAAAAAUUUUCCUUGACACUACCUCUCCACGUUAGAUAUAUAUUGAUAGCUUAAUGGCCGAACAGUAUCAAAAGGCUGAAAGAGAGGCUAGGGAUCUGAGUAGUAAGAUUUAUAAUAAUUUGUAUUAGGGACAGAAAAAAGAGAAGAGUUGGACCUUUGAACAUGCAUUGUGGGUUUCCGUUAAAUUUUGGGAGUUUGGAUAUUUCUAAAGUUUAUCCACAAAAGCAAAAAAAGUGACUGCUUAGGAGCCUUGUUUUUCAAGUUUCUAAGUGUGCCCACCAAAUAAUCUUAACGUAAUCAAACUAUGCCAAAUAAUGUGGAACUUGUCCCAUUUGAGAUAAAUGCGUGGUAUUCAUAUAAAUUAUUUACUUGGCCCAGAUAUUUUGAAUUGAAUGAUAUAAAACUACACUCAUGUUCUUAUAUAUUCAAUAUUUUUAAAAAUCAAAUACUUUAUGUGCAACUGUGUGAUAGAUGCCAGUUUCUUUGAAAAACCAUUGACUUCAAAGCUGUCAGAGAGAUUGUUACACAAAUGUGAAAACAAAACUACUGUUUAUAUAAAACAAUGCAUUCAUUAAAGUUAGCAUAAGAUGGAGAAAUAAAAAAAAACAUAGCUAAUAAAUGCUAUGAAAUUUUAAGUUUAUAGUGAUAACUAUUAUCAAUAUGGUUGCACCUAGCUGUAAAGGUCAGGAAAUAUGUGUGGAGGUUUUGGGGAUUGAAGAAGAAUAUUCUGUGAUUUUCCAGAUGGUCUUGUGCCACCAGUUACACAUCGCCCUAGCAAAGAGUUUAAAUUUGGCAAAGAUGAGUAUGCACAUCGCCAUAAUUUAUAGGACUUUCUAAGUGAUUUAAACUCUCUUAUUUGUAGAGUUGUGGAUGGCUGCUUAAAUGAGAUAACGAUAAACUUAGGAGUUUGGUUAUCUCUCAAAUCUGUCUAGGAAAAAAUCAACAAACACUUUCUAGGUCAUAUGAAAUAUUGAAGUUUAAAAUAAGAACAUACAAUAAUGCGGUUAAACACUAGAAUAAAUGAAUAUACUCUGAUGGAUAGGUACAGAAGUCACGGGAAAAAUUAGGAAAUAAUUGAUAGUAUUAUAGAUUAAAUUAGUAUCUGAUAAAGGUGUUGGUAGUUGUAAAGGAAAAUAAGUGAAAGAUUAAAAGAAUUUUCAUAAGAUUACAUUUCAGGAUUUUAUUACAUAUGAUGCUACUUGGCCUUUACUAUCAGGCACAGUUUUCUCUAGUAAUAGUUUUAUGAAAGAUUUGUAAAUUGUUUCAAAUGACAAACCCACAUGCUAGGCUGGUUCAGUGGUGUUUUAUAGAAGUUGGGGUGUAAUGACAAACAUACCUUUACUUUUUUCAUGAGUCAGAUGUUGUUUUCAAACCAGUCAUCUCCAGACAUCAGAAAGGCAUACAAAUUACUAUUAAUAUUUUAAAAAAUCAGUAGAUAGAUUUUUCUCAGAUCUCAGAGAGUAGAGAUAAUAAAAAUCAAUAAUAGUUUUUAGUUAUCUAUAAAAAUUUGGCUACUUUCUACUACACACUAUAAAUUACAUGAAUAAUUUUAAUAACAGGAAGAAUGACUAUUUUUCUUUUGUAAGAUGAACUUAUUAAAUCAAUUAUGCAGAUGUUGUGUGUACUGGAAAAGCUGAUGAUCACUGGAACAGAAUACAUUUCAUAUGUCUAAACUUAAAUAGUCUUUAGUUGAGUGCACACAGACAAUGCUAAUUAUAAGAUAAACAAUCUUCAAAUGCUUUAACACGUCGUAAACUGGUCUUUCCUGUUGUUAAGUAUGAAGUAGGCAAUUAAGGUGAUUCCGCCCCUGAGAAACUUCAUAAUCAUAGUUAUAAAACAAAACAAAAGGUGCCCAUUUUUUCUGACAUAUUUUUUUACAAUCUUAACUCUGAAUUAAUAAGAUAGAAGAAUUAAUUACUUAUAGAUUGAAUUUGAGUCCAUAGAAAGAGUUAGUAGGUUUUAAUAAAUAUGAUGAGCUGUGGACAUCCUAAAUAAAUGGGAAAAAAAGGUAAAUGUAAAAUUUAUUGGUGCAUUUUAAGACAUUUCAGUCCAGUCCUAUGCAAAGCAACUAAACAUCUUUUUCUUUCAUUUUAUAGCUGAACAAAGCAUAGAAAAACAAAACAUCAGGGAAAUUCCUAUAUUACGUUGAUCUUUGCAGAAUUAAUGUAUAUUUCAUCAAAACAUAUAUGUAUUUGUAUCUAGAUGUUGUAUAUGUAGAAGUAAAUAUUCUAGGUGUUGGGAAUAUAGGCAUGAACAAAACAGAUGUUCUUAUUCUGAAUAAGCUCACAUUCUAGACAGGGUUAUUUAACUACAAAGCUCUUUAUCUUGCCAGAGCAAAUAGGAAAGCUGUCGCCCACUCCAAUUUGACAGAAAGGGUUACUUCUAACUGAAGCCAACAUUUGGAAUGAAUUCCUCUUGGGGCAAAAGGGAUGAGAAAUAUGUUUCUGUGUAACAAUAUUAAACAUCUUUCCUGACUGCAGCAACUUGGGAUAUGCAGUUGUAUAAGAAUGUUAUAUCUUUUCCUUAUGUCAUCUAUAUAAUUCUCUAACUUUUGGUUCCCAGACCUCUGUGGUCCAGGUGCAGAGAUUUUACACUGGAGUAUACUCAUUCACUCAUUAGUGAUUACUACAUUAGCUUCUUAAGUCUUUUAACAAGAAUUUAUGGAGUGACUAACAGGUGCCAAUGAGAGCUGGUCAACAGGAAAUCAUUCAUUUGUGAAACCUGGUGUGAAAGAAAGGUGGAGUGUUGUCUGCAGCAAGACAAAUUGGUGUUCAAACCUCAGAUCCCCAAGCUGUUAUUUAAAGCUAAGGGUAAAUUACCUGGCAUUUCUGUGUUCUCAAAUAUGUUCUCACAUAUUCACAGGAUUAUUAAAAGCCUUAAAUGAUAAAAUGUCUGAAAAGUAUAUAACUGAUUUCUCAGUAUAUGGCACGUGUUAAGGAAGCAUUGAAACAAUCCACUUAAAUAAGAUAUAUUAACAAAGAGACAACCUGAUAUCACAAAAAAAAAGCACUAAGAAAGACCUGGAUUUAAUUUCAGACCCUGCUGCUUAUUUCUGAUGUAACCUUGGUCAUGUCACUUAAAAUUUCUAGCCCCUAUUCCUCAUCUGUUAAAUAGAAAGUAUAACAGUCAUACAAACUCAAAUAGUUAUUGAAAGAAAACAUAAGAAAAGGAUGAUUAAAAUAAUCUACAAAUAAUAAAAUGUAAUACAAUUUUAAAAGUGAUAUAUUCUGUUGGCUUUUUUCUCAUAAUGCAGUAUUUAGCGGGAAAUAUUUCAAAAUUAAAUCUACCUGUAUUUUUCUCAUGAUAUUUUCUCCCCUUUAUUUUUUCUUCCCAUUACCUUUGUCUUAAUUCACAUUCUUACUUUCGAAUUCUUUAUGUGUCUUUUAUUUUUACUGCUUUAUAAUCUCUUUCAUUUUAAACGGAAACAUGCCUUCUAGACUCCUCCGUUCUUUCAAGGAAAAAACUCACUUGAACAACCCAUUUACAACUAUACAGACCUAAUAAAUAUAUCGACAUUCAAACGUCCAAUAAAUAUACCAAAAUUCUUCCCUUUCUCUCACAGAAAAUGUAUGCUUCUCAUAUAGAGAACAGAAGCCAUUUACGACAUUGAUAAUAAUAGUCACAAAACCUUUGAUUUAAAGGUUUCAUUAAAAAGUUCUCUGCACAGCAAAGUGUAUGACACCCAAUUUAUCUACCUAGAGAAGAUCGGUAGGUGUGAUUGGAAACCCUGGCUUUAGGCAGUCUCCUGGAAAUACAGCCUGUUCUUGAUAGAAGACAAGAGGAGUGAGCCCCAGCAGUAUUGAGAAGGAACAAGACAAUGUAUUGCUGUAUAUUGGGAAGACACAAGACUAUAGGUUGCCAAAACAUAUGCUAUAUAUAAUCCUAUUAGUAUCCUAUCACCUAAAACUUUUCAAAAUUGGCCAAAUUAUAUUGACAUUUUUCUUCAUUAUACAUUGAGUGGCAUGAGGAUGGCAGAUGGAUACUGAGUUUCCUUUAUCAUGAGAGAUGAUUAUGGCUAAAAUAUUAAUAUAUUUUCUGCCACUAUUUGUUUGCUUAUGCAAAUAUAUGUUAUGACACAUUUAAAUAUAUGGCUAAAUAUUGACUGUUAUAUAAAAUUACCAACACACAUGAUUCUAUUUUUUUAAAGCAGUCGAUAUGAACAAUUCAUUUGUUUACAGUACUCUAAUAUUUAAACAAAGUGACAACACAUUAUUUAAAAAUAAACAUAGAAGAUUACAUGUAUAUAUGAUGGCAGAUUAUUCUUUUAGAUGUGAGAAAAAAAUUUAAUCAUUAAAGAAAUGAUAAAGUCAACACAAAUCUCAGAAAAUUAUUCUGAAGUGAUACAGACUCUGCUAUUCAGGCAGAUUGCAAGGAAAGUAAAAAACAAUAUUUUGUUUUGUUUCAUUAAAAAUGGCAUUUUAAAAUUUAGAUUACAAAAGUUUUACCUGGUCAUUAAAGAAAUAUACAGAAUAGCCUAUAAGAGUAAAUAAAAAAAAUACCACAGUCCUUUCACCCAGAGUUAUUUUGGUGUAAUUUUAUUCACAAUUGG